ensembl:lncRNA
GUUUAUUGUUUGAAACAGAGUUCUCCAAACUCAAAAGGAAAGUAAGUGAACAAAAUGAAAAUAGUAGUCAAAAGGUCAGCUUUAAAGAGAGGGGGGAAAAAAAGCAGCUUAGAAAAUGGCAUUUCCAAUCUUAAUGUUCUCUAAAAGGGAAAAAAUAUACCCAUAUCCCACAAGGCCUAGAUGAGAUCCAGUUACCUGUGUCUUACUGCACUGAGAAAGCCUUGGAGCAAUAUUUAGCAGUUACUUUAAUUGAAAAUCAACACUGUAAUAACAGGCGAUGAGCAUCGAGCACUCUGUACCACACAGAGCGAGUCCUGUGGUCAGGAGGAGCCUGCUCCUGAGAAAUCCAAAGGGAAAUCACAGAGGAAGCAUUUACCUCCUUAGAAGUGGGUGUGAAGUGUGAAUUCUUCCCUUGUUCUCAAGGGACACCAUGGAAAACAGCUGUCCUGGGAUCUGCAUGCUAUGUCCAGACACGUUAGCACUUUGCUCAGCGUGCAGCUUGCCUGCACCACAUCUGAUCGUAAGGGAUCCACACACUGCAUGGAGACACCAAGUUUUGCACCGGCAUCAAACUUAUAAAUGGAAAACUUGUUGCUCUGCUACAGUAUAAAUGAAUACUGUAUGAAGUAUAAAGAGAGCAGCAAUUAAGGUUUUAAAUCAUCCUUUAUUCUCUCAAUCAAGUGAAGUAUAAAAUGACUCCUCAUUAACCUCCCACUUCCUCAGCAAUUUAAUGCCCAUCUACGUAUGGAGAUGCUCCUCGUUUGUAACAACGUCACUCUCAAAAGAGUACGGGGUCACAGUUUCCUCCGAAAUUAUGGCGGUUCACAUCUGCAAAUGUUCCAGCAAUCAGCAAGCAAACGAGAGCCUCCCGGUGCCACUCAGAUGGGUUCUGAAUGGCAAGGCACUAGCGGGCAAAGCCUUCCACUUUGCACAUGCCCCGGAGAAGAGGUUGUGGGAGGCGCCAGACCCGCAGCUGCCUCUGAGCGGCCGUAACCCCGGGCCGGUGCGGUCCCCGCCGCGGCUAUUCGGCACCCGCAGCCCCGCGCGGUUCCGCGCCGCCCGUCUCCGCCUCGCCGCCCCCCGCCGCCGGCUCCUUGUCCCCGCCGCUCGUCGCCUUCGCGUUGAAGCACAGCUUGAAGACCCCCAGGACGGUCAUGACCAGGAUCACCAGUACCACCACGGCCACCGUCACCAGGAUGAAGACGUAGUUGGAGGAGGAGAAGGGCGGCGGUCGGCCGGGGCGCCGGGCGCGGCGCUGGGGGUCGGGGCGCAGCGCUCUUUGCA